AUGAGAAACUACAGUCAUCAUCUAAAAUUUGUCCUUUGUCUAGUCCUCCGAAGGCGGCGGCCCGUUCAGAUCCAGAUCAAACGUGACCGCCUUAUGCGCUGUCACCGCGGGGGGCGACGGGGACAGAUCAACGACCGACGAGGAGUCGGAGUCGCUCUGGGCAACGGCCGCCACGGUGACCGGCUGCGCCACCUUCAGCGCGCGAUACCCCGACGCCGCCGCCGCGGCGGCCGCGGCCUGUUCGUAGAAGAAGUACGGGUGCAGAGGCUGGCGCGAUGCCACCGGGUAACCGUUGAACGGGAAGCGCAUGCCGCCGCCGGCGACGGCCGUCACGGCCGCCGCGCGGUGGAAGAGGUCCAGGUCGAGGGCGGGCGGCAGCGGGAUGGCCUGCAUGGGCGCCUGGGCGCAGCCGCCGCUCCCUCCCCCGCUAGAGUCCAAGGUGCUGUUGCUGCUCGGGCUGCCGCCGCCGGCGACAGGGGACGACGACGACGACGAAGGGAACGGGAAGUUAGUUUUCGCCUUGGCGCCGCGGAACUCGCGCGCGGCGGUGUCGUAGGCGCGCGCGGCCUCCUCCGCCGUAUCGUACGUGCCGAGCCAGACCCUGCUCUUCUUGGCCGGGUCACGGAUCUCCGCGGCGUAACGUCCCCAUGGGCGCUUCCGGACGCCCCUGUAGUGCGCGCCACCGGCGACGACUCCGACCCCGCCGCCAACGCCAAGGCCGAGCCUGGUGGGCGGGGAGACAGGCGCCUUCUCCGCCGCUCUAGGCGCCAUGGGUGCAGCAGGUGUACAAGUGGCGUGCGCGUAUCUUUUUGGUUAUUCGGGCGUUUUGGUGAUGCAGGGGGGUGGGGUGGGUGUGUAGCGCCCAGGAUAAGGCGAGGAGGGGGACGGGCAUUUAUAGAUGGACGGGGGGUUAAAAAAGGGAAGUGA
rnacentral:rRNA from 1 species